rnacentral:rRNA from 1 species
AACGAACGCUGGCGGCAUGCCUAACACAUGCAAGUCGAACGAGACCUUCGGGACUAGUGGCGCACGGGUGCGUCACGCGUGGGAACCUGCCCUUAGGUUCGGAAUAACUCUCCGAAAGGGGUGCUAAUACCGGAUAAUGUCUUCGGACCAAAGAUUUAUCGCCUUUGGAUGGGCCCGCGUUGGAUUAGCUAGUUGGUAGGGUAAAAGCCUACCAAGGCGACGAUCCAUAGCUGGUCUGAGAGAAUGAUCAGCCACACUGGGACUGAGACACGGCCCAGACUCCUACGGGAGGCAGCAGUGGGGAAUAUUGGAAAGUGGGCGAAGGCCUGAUCCAGCAAUGACGCGUGAGUGAUGAAGGCCUUAGGGUUGUAAAGCUCUUUUACCCGGGAUGAUAAUGACAGUACCGGGAGAAUAAGCUCCGGCUAACUCCGUG